rnacentral:rRNA from 1 species
AUUGAACGCUGGCGGCAGGCCUAACACAUGCAAGUCGAGCGAGCGGCGGACUGGGGAGUACUGUCUGGGAAACUGCCUGAUGGAGGGGGAUAAAUCCUGGAAAAGGUAGCUAAUACCGCAUACGAUCAGCUGUGCCCACAUGGGAUUUGCUAGUAGGUGGGGUAAUGGCUCACCUAGGCGACGAUCCCUAACUGGUCUGAGAGGAUUACCGGCACCCCGGGAACUGAUACAAGCUCCAGAUCCCUCCGGAAGUAUGCAGUGGGUAUUAUUGCACAAUGGGCGAAAUCCUGAUGCAGCCAUGCGGGGUGUGUGAAGAAGGCUUGCGGGUUGUAAAGCACUUUCAGCGAGGAGGCGUUACUCGCAGAAAAAGCACCGGCUAACUCCGUGCCAGCAGCCGCGGUAAUUC